rnacentral:rRNA from 1 species
ACAACGAAGAGUUUGAUCCUGGCUCAGGAUGAACGCUAGCGACAGGCUUAACACAUGCAAGUCGAGGGGCAGCGAGGGCGUAGCAAUACGCCUGUCGGCGACCGGCGCACUGGUGAGUAACACGUAUGCGACCUGCCCCCUACAGGGGUAUAACCCGUAGAAAUGCGGACUAAUCCCCCAUAGUCCUGGGUGCUGCAUGGCAUUCAGGGGAAAGG